UACGUAGGGUGCGAGCGUUGUCCGGAAUUACUGGGCGUAAAGAGCUCGUAGGUGGUUUGUCGCGUUGUUCGUGAAAACUCACAACUCAAUUGUGGGCGUGCGGGCGAUACGGGCAGACUGGAGUACUGCAGGGGAGACUGGAAUUCCUGGUGUAGCGGUGGAAUGCGCAGAUAUCAGGAGGAACACCGGUGGCGAAGGCGGGUCUCUGGGCAGUAACUGACGCUGAGGAGCGAAAGCGUGGGGGAGCGAACAGG
rnacentral:rRNA from 1 species